rnacentral:tRNA from 1 species
GGGAAAGUAGCUCAGUGGUAGAGUGCUUGCCUUGCAUGCAUGAGGCACUAGGUUCGAUUCCUCAGCACCA